rnacentral:rRNA from 1 species
UACGAGGGGGGGCGAGCGUUGUUCGGAAUUAUUGGGCGUAAAGGGUGCGUAGGCGGUUUGGUAAGUCUGAUGUGAAAUCUAUGGGCUCAACUCAUAGUCUGCAUCGGAAACUGCCGGGCUUGAGUGUGGGAGAGGUGAGUGGAAUUCCUGGUGUAGCGGUGAAAUGCGUAGAUAUCAGGAGGAACACCUGUGGCGAAAGCGGCUCACUGGACCAUAACUGACGCUGAUGCACGAAAAGCUAGGGGGAGCAA